AAUCCACAGCUCCUCUAGGACCGUCAGCUGCUCCCGGGCUCACUCGGGAGUGAGUCCGUAGAGGGGCCGACGGCCAGCACUCGUGCUGGGUGAUGGGCGUUCGCUGCCUGAGCCCGUCAGAGCUGAUGCGGACACUGAGGCCAGGCUGCUCGUCUCCGCUCAUUCCUGUUCACCCAGUGCCUGACGCACUGCUCGUGCACAGGAGACCACAGCACACGUGUCUCUGAUGAACAAGUGAGGGGACUUCCCUGGCGGUCCAGUGGCUAAGACCUCGCCUUCCAACGCAGGGUGUGCAGAUGAUGAACGUGCAGAGACUGGCCGAGGCCCAGGCCUGAACACCCACUCCACUAGCCCUGCCGUGGAGGCCAGGCGCAGCAGUCACCCAGCCUGCCCAGGGAAGCCGGGGCGCCAGGCUGGGUGGGUGAUGGUCUUGGGGUGGACUGCCUUGCUCUCUUUGGCGAGCCCCACCCCAGGCUCCUCUGCACAGAUGUUCCGCACAGACACUCUGCCGUAGCUUUGCGCUGCCAGAUUUACUUGCCACCAACCAUCUUCUUGUCUCCAGUGCCCCUCCGGACAACAUUCCAGCUUCUGAUGUGGGUACUACAGACCGACUGUGUCCUCUCAAAAUUCUUAUGUAGAAACCUAAUCCCCAGUGUCCUCAUAUUAGGAGGCGAGGCGUCUGGGAGGGGGUUAGGGGACAAGUGCCUUUAUAAGAGACUCCAGAGAUCAAUCCCAGUCCUUCCAUCUCGAGAGGACACGGUGAGAAGACACGGUGAGAAGACAGUUGUCUGUGAACUAGUAAGGGGUCCUCCCCAGACAUCUCAUCUGCUGCCACCCUGACCUUGGACUUCGCAGCCUCCAGAACUGUGAGAAAUACAUUUCUGUUAUUUAAGCCACCCAUCUAUGGUAUUGUUGCUAUAUUGGCCGGAAAAGACUAAAAAUGGGCAAACAAAGGCAGAAACCAGAGAAGAAGCUAAGACCACCUCUGUCCCAGCUUGGAGGAGCACACAUUCCCCACAGUAGCCGCCCCCUGUACCCCCAUUUCUAGCCUCCAGACUGGACUUCCCACUGACUCAGCACAUCUGCUUCCACGUUCUUAACAGAUCCCCAUGACAGUUCACAGGCAGAGUGGCCAGCGGUGACCAGUGCCAUCCCUUGGCCUUCUCUCUUGCCUCUGUGUCCUACUAGAGCCAAAAAAAGCCACAUUUUUGUUUUCCUCAGCUCUCUCCCUGCUAGGCCGAUGUGCGGUUUGAAGUUGGGCAACCCAGCAUUC